AGCCUCAUCUGAAGCAGUGUGCUGAAAGUCUGUAGAGAAGUCAUUUGGUCAGUGAACCUGGCUGCCAGCACCCUGCUUCCAUAAGGUAGUCCAGGGCAUAAGAAGAGCCCUAAUGCAGCAGCCUCCAAUGAGUCUGUAGCUGACACAUUUACUGGUGAGAUGCGAUGUGGGUCUUAUGGUGGGCAGUGAAAUACAGAGACUGAUUUUUCUCAAGAUUUCUUGUCUGGACGUUGGAAAUAACAUUUGAAUCUGAGCUGCUUUCUGGUGACCCAGGAGAAUAUCAUGGAGUCUUUGAGGCCAGAUGGAAAACAUGCCUUCGUGAAAAUGUUUCUACUCAACUAAUCCUGUCUUGGCUUUAAGUUGCCUUGGCACAGCAGAUUGAGGAUUAGGCUUGUGGAGAGGCUGCUGCUAUUCCCAAAGAUUGGACUGUCCCCUGACACGUCUGGAUCAGGCAAGAACUCUAUCAGAUUCUUAUGCUUUCUCUUCACCUAUUUGGCUCUAUCAAACAAAUCUUAUAAUUCCGUCAUUUGAAUUGUGAUCUGUUUUUGUGCUGUUAGUAAGCAGCAAACAGAAAUAGUCAGGAUAUUUCCUUCCACAGUGUAGAGUUGUUUCCUUCACCUAGGUUUGGCUUUUUUCUUUGCUUUCUUUUGUUGUUGUUGACACCAAAUUUGUUUCCGUUUGUUAGAUUGGCUUUGCUGAAUUCCAUUUAUUUUGAUGUCUGUAUUCAUGAAGCGUACAACAAAAUACCUACAAACCUUAUUAAAUGAGUGUUGGGGAGUAGUAGUCCUAUGUAAUAGCACUGUACCUUCUCUUAUCGGUUCUUCAUGUCAGAGGGAGAUGUAUUGUUCUAUGACUUCUCUCCUCUGGCAGUUGCUGUGUACAGACAUGGGAAUAAUUCAAAGCUGGAGUGACUGAUGUGGCUGUCCUGUCUGGAGGCAACUAAGACUUACUUGGAAUAAUUACCUCUGUGUUCAGUAGCUAUACUUAAAUAAAGAAAGAACUUCCGAUCCUGAUGAUUCUAUUGAUGGAAAAACUCUCAUUCAUGGAACACUGCCCAACAGAUUACACUGCUAGAAAACAUUUGCCCAGCUUUUAUUUUGACUUUGUAUAAAUUCAUCUUGAAGCAUUGAAAAUAGCCUUUUUUUUCUAAACCUGUACAUCCUUCUAGUAACACAUUUCUGAUCCUGGCUUAAAUGGGCAGUUAAUUUAUACACUAACUUCAGCUUAAAUGAAUCUGAUCAAGCUUCCUAAACCUUUCCUUUUUAAGGAGUUUUCCAGUUUCCUUUCAGAGGAAGGUUUUGUUCACAGUCCUUGCCCAAUCACCUCUAAUCAACCACCUCUCUGUGGACAGUUGGCAUACCUGGAAAACGUUCAC